UGAAGACGACGAGGUAGAUAGGGCAGAGGUGGAAGUGCGGUAACGCAUGGAGCUGACUGUUACUAAUAGGUCGAGGGCAUAACCAAG
rnacentral:rRNA from 1 species